rnacentral:misc_RNA from 1 species
CGCUUCGCAAACAUAUGGUUUUGCGUUUUGGCCGUGGUUACUGACAGCAAUAAGAAAAGGGUUGAGCAGCUUUGCACGGCGCACUUGAAAAGGCAAAUAAAUCACAGUACGAAACAUGGCCAUACGUUUGACGCACAGAUUACUGCAGGCCCAGGUUCCGUUCCUGACGCGCGGCUAUCCGCUGCUCGUGACUAAGGAGAAGACCGAGGAUGUGGCUCAUACGAAAUCUAAGUUGCAAAAGAAACUAACGGGCACUGAUAUACCCUCGGCGCAAUAUGGCGGUCGCCAUGGAGUCACUAUGCUGCCUGGCGGUGGCAUUGGACCGGAAUUGAUGGGCUAUGUGCGUGAAAUCUUUAGGUACUGUGGCGCACCCAUUGAUUUUGAGGUAAUCGACAUUGAUCCCUCCACCGAGGGUAACGAUGAUCUGGAGUAUGCGAUUACCUCCAUCAAGCGUAAUGGCGUUGCGCUCAAGGGAAAUAUUGAGACCAAGUCACAUAGCCUAGAUGAAACUUCACGCAAUGUGGCUAUACGUAAUGAGCUGGAUCUCUACGUGAAUGUCGUUCACUGCAAAUCAUAUCCAGGCAUUCCUGCACGUCACAAGGACGUUGACAUUGUGCUCAUCCGCCAAAACACGGACGGUGAGUAUGCCAUGCUGGAGCACGAGUCUGUCCAAGGUGUUGUGGAGAGCAUGAAGGUGGUGACUAUCGACAAUGCUGAGCGUGUGGCACGGUAUGCCUUCGAGUUUGCGCGCCAGAACAAUCGCAAGCGCGUGACGACCGUACACAAGGCCAACAUCAUGAAGCUGUCGGACGGUCUCUUCCUGGAUGUGGCCAAUCGUGUGCACAAGGAUUAUCCGGAGAUAGAGCACAACAACAUGAUCAUUGACAAUACUUGCAUGCAGGCUGUAUCGAAUCCGCAUCAGUUUGAUGUCAUGAAUAUGACCAAUUUGUAUGGCACCAUUGUGUCGAAUGUGCUUUGUGGAUUGAUUGGCGGCGCCGGCCUCAUCUCUGGACGCAACUAUGGCGAUCACUUUGCUGUCUUCGAGCCCGGCACCCGUAACACUGGCACUGCCAUUGCUGGCAAGAAUAUAGCCAAUCCCGUGGCCAUGAUCAAUGCCAGCAUUGAUAUGUUAAAUCAUUUAGGUCACAAGGAUCAUGCCAAGGUUAUCUAUGAUGCCACCUACCAUACGAUUGUCAAUGAUGCCAUACGCACGCCAGAUCUGGGCGGCACGAACAGCAGCACGGACGUAGUUGAGAACAUACUCAAGAUCUUGAGUACAAAGCGUGUUAAUUGGCCACAUGGAAACUAUUUCAACCAGUCUUAGGCACCCUUUCCGCAUACGAAAAGUCAAAGCCAUACUAAACCGCAAACAAUUUAAAAAGAAAAACCAAAACAAAUAAAAUUUCAUAUUAACCCUGAACUAAGCCAAUCAGAGCCAACUGUUAAAACGAAUUAUUUCACCCUUAAGCCAAUGCAUAAAGCGGUUAUUGUGAUGUCAAUAAAUAUAAUUAGAAGCAAUCCAUUUAUUUAUUUAUGUGGUCAAAAUCAAAACAUUUGCGCUGCUUUACCAAACAAAUCUCCCCGCCCCGGGCUAAGUGUUAUGUGUUCUGUGCACCUCCGAUGUUCAAAGUUGUAUACUACAGAAUUUCUUACGCUCAGCAAUGUUUUGAACAUGACCUACUUUGACUCUUUAAUUUGUUCACCCAUUAGGCAUAUACAUAAUCCCUAAG